rnacentral:rRNA from 1 species
GAUGAACGCUGGCGGCGUGCUUAACACAUGCAAGUCGAACGAUGAAGCCCAGCUUGCUGGGUGGAUUCGUGGCGAACGGGUGAGUAACACGUGAGUAACCUGCCCUUUACUCUGGGAUAAGCCUUGGAAACUGGGUCUAAUACCGCAUAGGAGCGUCCACCGCAUGGUGGGUGUUGGAAAGAUUUAUCGGUUUUGGAUGGACUCGCGGCCUAUCAGCUUGUUGGUGGGGUAAUGGCUCACCAAGGCGCCGACGGGUAGCCGGCCUGAGAGGGUGACCGGCCACACUGGGACUGAGACACGGCCCAGACUCCUACGGGAGGCAGCAGUGGGGAAUAUUGCACAAUGGGCGGAAGCCUGAUGCAGCGACGCCGCGUGAGGGAUGACGGCCUUCGGGUUGUAAACCGCUUUCAGUAGGGAAGAAGCGAAAGUGACGGUACCUGCAGAAGAAGCACCGGCUAACUACGUG